rnacentral:lncRNA from 1 species
GGCUGGCUGCGGGCUGGGCAGAGAAAGAGGCUUUGAGACUCCCGAGCAACUUUAUAAUGCAGGAGAAAAGUUAGCCUUUUAAAUGAGGUUAAGUACCCCGAGAGUGAUGGUAAAUAGAACAGGCAGCUCUUUAAGUGGAAAUAAAGUGCUUUCAGUACCGUCAUAAAGCUGCAAAACGCAGCUUAGCUGGGAGAAGUGGAUUUCACGUGGGAGAGAGAGCAAAUUAGAAUGCAGGCUCAAGAGCGAUUUAAGAGGGGCCCUUCAACCACGGAAAGAAAGGGAGAGGGAGAAGGGAGGAGAAAGAGAGAGUCUGAUUGAUUGAUUAUGGCCAACUGUGAGAAGCAGAAUUCCACACUGAGGUCUGGCAGCACCCUAACAGGCACUUCUGCUCUCCCCCCACGAUGUGCCCACCCCACCUCUUGCAGCCGAGCAAUGCAACCUCAAUAGGAAAACAAUCUGACUUCAGUGCAAUUUCACUCCUAAGGAUUUUCCACAUAUUUAAAGAUGCUUUGCAUAUUUUUUUUCUAAAAUCCCCCAUGAGACUCUACAGUAUGUUCCUGAAUUCUUUUUAACCUCUUAACUUGUCAAAAGAGCAUUUCAAACCCUAGAUCUCAGGGGUCCCUGCCAGGCAUUUUCAAGUUUGAUUUUUGUGGGGAGGACAUCAACAAGUUAAAACCUAAAUGAGCAACAAAUUUUGUCUUCCAUGUCUUCCUCAUCCUGCUGUUUGCUCCACGGCUCUUGACAGGAUGGAGACGAGGAAAGAACUUCCACAUCCACAUUCAAAACGUCUGCCAGAACUCCCUCAGGAUUUUUAUGUGUAUGGUCAUUUCAAGUGAAUUUUGUAUACAGAGCAAGGCGAUUACUUUAAAACAUGAAAGAAAUUGCACCUUUUCCUUAAGGGCAAGAUGGUGCUGUGGGCUUUCCUCUCUCCUGAUGAGAUGAUGCAAAUGGACUCCAUAGAGAAACGCUGCCCGUGUAACAAUGCAGUUACGCAACCCGGUGCAUGACACAUGAAUUGCAGCGCACCUGAGAUCCUGAUGAAAUCCUGGGAGCCUGGAGCUGUCAAACAUGGUUUUAAAAAAUAAAGGGAAUACACCCAGCCCACACCCUGACUUUACAACCUUUAAUUAAUUAGAGGAAAGAAAGAGAGAUUUGUCUGGUUUCAUGACUUCAACUUUCCACCUGGAAUAUGAAGCUCCUGCUCUUCCCACCUCCUUUUCUUCUCUCUCUCUCUCUCAGGUUUUUAAAUUUCUAUUUCCAGUUCUGCCACCAAAAAUAGAUUGCAAAUAUAUUCUGCAUAAUUCCGAGGCUACACUAUAAAUGUUGGAGUGCUACUACUUGUAUAAUAGUCACAAAUGAACGCACGAGUGGGCAC